AUGUCACGUCGAGGUACUGCAGAAAAAAGAACUGCAAAAUCCGAUCCAAUUUUUCGUAAUCGAUUAGUUAACAUGGUGGUUAACCGUAUUAUGAAAGACAAAAAAAAUCAUUGGCAACAAGAGCUAACUAUUAGUAACUCUAUUCCUGAAUGUAAGAUGUUUUUGAGUUCAAUUACGUCUUACAUUUAG
rnacentral:rRNA from 1 species